rnacentral:tRNA from 2 species
CCCCGGGUAGCCCAACUGGCAGGAGGCACGGUUUUCAGGAAGCCGACAGUGUGCGUUCGAAUCGCACCCCGGGUA